CCCUUAGAUGUUCUGGGCUGCACACGUGCUACACUGGCAGGUUCAGCGAGCUUCAUGCCCUGAUCUGAAAGGAAUGGGAAAUCUUUUCAAAACCUGCCGUGCUUGGGAUAGAUGUUUGCAAUUAUUCAUCUUCAACGAGGAUUGCCUUGUAAGCGCACGUCAUCAGCGUGCAUUGAAUACGACCCUGUAUUCUGUACACACCGCCCGUCGCUCCUACCGAUUGAAGUUUUCGGUGAGUUGACAGGUGGAUUUUUUUGAAACUGGUUCGCCAGUGGAUUUUAGAUCCAAAUGCCAACGAAUCGAUGGCUUUAGAGGAAGGAGAAGUCGUAACA
rnacentral:rRNA from 1 species